rnacentral:rRNA from 1 species
AGGUGAAAUUUGGUUACUCAAGUGUAAUUUGGUUUUGUGUAAAAUUAUUUUGAAGCUAUUAAGUUUUAGGUAUAAAACAGGAUUAGAUACCCUGCUAUACUUUAAUUAAAUUAGGUGGUUUGAGUAGUAAAUAGUUAUAUUCUUUAAACUUAAAGAAUUUGGCGGUAUUUUAGUCCUGUUAGAGGAACCUGUUCCGUAAACGAUAUUCCUCGAAUAAUCUUACUCUUUUUUGUAGUUCAGUUUGUAUACCGCCAUUAUUAGAUAGCUUUAUAAAAAUCUGUUUUAAUAGUUUAAAUUAAUAUAUUAGGUCAAGGUGCAGCUUAUAGAAGAGCGGGUAAUGGGUUACACUGUAAUGUGUUAAAACGAAUGAGUAGUGGUAUUUCUACUUGGAAGGUGGAUUUAAUAGUAAGGUUGUUUUAAUACGGCAGCUUGAUAGUGGCUCUAAAGUAUGUA